rnacentral:miRNA from 11 species
GGUGAUUGUGUGUCUGGUCCAUG